GAUGAACGCUGGCGGCGUGCCUAAUACAUGCAAGUCGAGCGAACGGACGAGAAGCUUGCUUUUCUGAUGUUAGCGGCGGACGGGUGAGUAACACGUGGAUAACCUACCUAUAAGACUGGGAUAACUUCGGGAAACCGGAGCUAAUACCGGAUAAUAUUUUGAACGGCAUGGUUCAAAAGUGAAAGACGGUCUUGCUGUCUCUUAUAGAUGGAUCCGCGCUGCAUUAGCUAGUUGGUAAGGUAACGGCUUACCAAGGCAACGAUGCAUAGCCGACCUGAGAGGGUGAUCGGCCACACUGGAACUGAGACACGGUCCAGACUCCUACGGGAGGCAGCAGUGGGGAAUCUUCCACAAUGGGCGAAAGCCUGACGGAGCAACGCCGCGUGAGUGAUGAAGGUCUUCGGGUCGUAAAACUCUUUUAUUAGGGAAGAACAUAUGUGGAAGUAAAUGUGCACAUCUUGACGGUACCUAAUCAGAAAGCCACGGCUAACUACGUG
rnacentral:rRNA from 1 species